rnacentral:rRNA from 1 species
AUUGAACGCUGGCGGCAGGCCUAACACAUGCAAGUCGGACGGUAGCACAGAGGAGCUUGCUCUUCGGGUGACGAGUGGCGGACGGGUGAGUAAUGUCUGGGAAACUGCCCGAUGGAGGGGGAUAACUACUGGAAACGGUAGCUAAUACCGCAUAACGUCGCAAGACCAAAGUGGGGGACCUUCGGGCCUCACACCAUCGGAUGUGCCCAGAUGGGAUUAGCUGGUAGGCGGGGUAACGGCCCACCUAGGCGACGAUCCCUAGCUGGGCUGAGAGGAUGACAAGCCACACUGGAACGGAGACACGGUCCAGACUCCUACGGGAGGCAGCAGUGAGGAAUAUUGCACAAUGGGCGCAAGCCUGAUGCAGCCAUGCCGCGUGUAUGAAGAAGGCCUUCGGGUUGUAAAGUACUUUCAGCGGGGAGGAAGGUGCUGAGGUUAAUAAGCUCAGCAAUUGACGUUACCCGCAGAAGAAGCACCGGCUAACUCCGUGCCAGCCGCCGCCGUAA